rnacentral:rRNA from 1 species
GUGUCAGCAGCCGCGGUAAUACAGAGGCCUCGAGCGUUGUUCGGAAUUACUGGGCGUAAAGGGAAUGUAGGUGGUGACGUAAGUCAGAUGUGAAAGCCCUGGGCUUAACCCGGGAAGUGCAUUUGAUACUGCGUUGCUUGAGUACGAGAGAGGAAAGCGGAAUUCCCAGUGUAGGAGUGAAAUCCGUAGAUAUUGGGAGGAAUACCGAUGGCGAAGGCAGCUUUCUGGCUCGUAACUGACACUGAGAUUCGAAAGCAUGGGUAGCAAACAGGAUUAGAAACCCCCGUAGUCC